GGAAAGUUCUUAUUGGCGCAAGAAAAUAUUUAUUACAGCACAACGAAAAGAAUAAAAUUACAAAGAUGACCAUUUCUCCAGUUGCUCUGGUUCAAGCUUUGCCCUAAAAAUUUUCCAUGCAAUUUUCCAUUAGGCCAUCACAUUUUAAUAUUUGCACUCAUCUCAUUAACCAUGAAAAAAUUUGUAUAUAUGGACUGCCAAUUCAUUUACACGCGAAUGAAAUAUAAAUAACAGAACCCGCCCCAACUGGUCACCCAUUUCUAUUCUGCUUUCACGGACGAUAACCUACUUCACGCCCUUACCAUAGCUGUCUCGCAGGGUCACAGUGCGAUUGAAGACAAGCUUAUCAGGUGUGGAAUCCUUGUCAACCACGAAAUAGCCAAGGCGUUCAAACUGGAAUUUUUCCCCAACAGCAGCCUUUUCAAGUGAUGGUACAGCAUAUGCACUAGACCUCACCACCUUGGACUGGGGGUUCAGAUCAGCAAGCCAAUCAUCAAGUUCAACAGGAUUCUCUGAAUUAAACAGUUUGUCAAACAAUCUGACUUCCACCUUUAGUGGAUCAACCCCUGGGGAAGGUUCAGCAACCCAGUGCAGAACCCCCUUAGGUUUGGUUUUCUUGGAAGCAUCAUAUUCAGCCUGGAUCUCAAUAAUGGUCUCAUUAUCAUCAGCUAGGACUACUUCUGUGCACUUUAUAGGGAAAGCAUACCUGAGUAGGACAGAUUUACCCGGUGCAAGCCCAUAAUAAUCCUUUGAAUCUUUCAUCCGGAAAUCAGAAUGCUCAAUGUAUACAACAUUGGAAAAUGGAACCUUGUAAAAAGCAGAAGCAUCAUCAUUUUGAGCAUCGGGCCAUUUCUUUGCCUCAAGAUCCAUAAUGGAACCAGAUUCUAGGUUGGUAAUGACCACCUUUAAGGGAUGCAGGACAACCAUUGUACGAGAGGCUGUUUUGUUAAAUUCUUCUCUUAUGUGAUACUCAAGACCAAGGCGAUCCAAGCGUAUCAAACUACCAUCACUUCUAGUGAUUCCAAUUCCUCGGACAAAAGCAUUUAUCGCAGUUGAAGUUACACCCCUUCGCCUUAAACCAGCCAGUGUCAUAAGACGGGGAUCAUCCCAACCAUCAACAUACUUUUUUGUCACCAAUAAAUUUAAUUUACGCUUUGACAUCACAGUAUUUGUAACAUUCAACCGGGAAUACUCCCACACAUAAGGCUGAUAAAUGCCCAACGCAUGUAACAACCAGUAAUAUGAUGCACGUCGUGUCUCAAAUUCCAAUGUACACAGCGAAUGAGUGAUAUUCUCAAGAGAGUCCACAAUGCAGUGAGCAUAAUCAUAACUUGGAUAUACACACCAC
rnacentral:misc_RNA from 1 species